rnacentral:rRNA from 1 species
GUGGGGAAUAUUGGACAAUGGGCGAAAGCCUGAUCCAGCCAUGCCGCGUGUGUGAAGAAGGUCUUCGGAUUGUAAAGCACUUUAAGUUGGGAGGAAGGGCAGUAAGUUAAUACCUUGCUGUUUUGACGUUACCAACAGAAUAAGCACCGGCUAACUUCGUGCCAGCAGCCGCGGUAAUACGAAGGGUGCAAGCGUUAAUCGGAAUCACUGGGCGUAAAGCGUGCGUAGGCGGUUUUGUAAGUUAGGAGUGAAAGCCCAGGGCUCAACCUUGGAAUUGCUCUUAAAACUGCAAGGCUCGAAUCUCGGAGAGGAUAGCGGAAUUUCCAGUGUAGCAGUGAAAUGCGUAGAUAUUGGAAGGAACACCAGUGGCGUAAGCGGCUAUCUGGACGAGUAUUGACGCUGAGGCACGAAAGCGUGGGGAUCAAACAGGAUUAGAUACCCUUGUAGUCC